rnacentral:lncRNA from 1 species
ACUAUGACAAAUAAGAGUGGUGAAAGUGGGCAUCCUUGUCUUGUUCCAGUUCUUAAAGAAAAAGCUUUUCCUCAUUCAGUACGAUGUUAGCUGUGGGUUUGCCAUGUGUGGGACUUUAUUGUGGUCAGUUUUUAGAAGGCUGGUAAUAUGCAGCAACGAAGCCAUCUAGUCCUGGGUUUCCUUUGCUGGGAGACUUUUUAUUAAAGAUUAAAUAUCGUUAAUCAUUAUUGGCUUCUUCAGGUUUUGUAUUUCUUCCUCUUUCAAUCGCGUUAGGUUGUAUGUGUCCAGGAAUUUUUCCAUUUCCUCUAGAUUUUCCAAUGUGUUGGGACACAGUUGUUCAUAAUCAUCUCCAAUGACCCUUUGUGUUUCUGAGAUAUCAGGUAAUGUCUCAUUUUUGGGGGGGAUUUUAUUUAUUUGGGUCUUUCUCUCUGUCUUUUUUUAGUUUUGUUAAUGAUUAUUGAUUUUAUUUAUUUUUUUUAAAAAACCAAGUUUUCAUUUUAUUGAUAUUAUUACUGCUUUAGUCUCAAUUUCAUUUAUUUCAGCUCUGAUCUUCAUUAUAUUGUUCAUUUGAUUAAUUUUGAUUUGUUUUUUUUUCUCCCUUUUGUAUUUUCAUGAUGUUCACCAUUAGGUUGUUCAUUUGAAAUCUUUCUUAUUUGAUGUAGGCAUUUAUUGCUAUAAAAUUGUGUCCUAGUAUUGCUUUUGCUCUCUCCUAUAUGAUUUGGUAUGUUGUAUUUACAUUUUCAUUUGUUUCAAUAACAUUUUUAAUUUUCUAAAACUGCCUCAUUGCUCAGGAGGAUGUUGUUUAAUUUUCAUGUAUUUUUGCAGUGUCCAAAUUUCACCUUGUUCUUAAUUUCUAGCGUCAUUUUACUGUGGUCAGAAAAGAUACUUGAUGUGAUUUUGACUUUAAAAAUUUGUUGAGAC